rnacentral:rRNA from 1 species
AACUCCGGGAAACCGGGGCUAAUACCGGAUGGUUGUUUGAACCGCAUGGUUCAAACAUAAAAGGUGGCUUCGGCUACCACUUACAGAUGGACCCGCGGCGCAUUAGCUAGUUGGUGAGGUAACGGCUCACCAAGGCAACGAUGCGUAGCCGACCUGAGAGGGUGAUCGGCCACACUGGGACUGAGACACGGCCCAGACUCCUACGGGAGGCAGCAGUAGGGAAUCUUCCGCAAUGGACGAAAGUCUGACGGAGCAACGCCGCGUGAGUGAUGAAGGUUUUCGGAUCGUAAAGCUCUGUUGUUAGGGAAGAACAAGUACCGUUCGAAUAGGGCGGUACCUUGACGGUACCUAACCAGAAAGCCACGGCUAACUACGUGCCAGCAGCCGCGGUAAUACGUAGGUGGCAAGCGUUGUCCGGAAUUAUUGGGCGUAAAGGGCUCGCAGGCGGUUUCUUAAGUCUGAUGUGAAAGCCCCCGGCUCNACCGGGGAGGGUCAUUGGAAACUGGGGAACUUGAGUGCAGAAGAGGAGAGUGGAAUUCCACGUGUAGCGGU